rnacentral:rRNA from 1 species
GACGAACGCUGGCGGCGUGCCUAAUACAUGCAAGUCGAGCGGACUGAUUAAGAGCUUGCUCUUAUGACGUUAGCGGCGGACGGGUGAGUAACACGUGGGCAACCUGCCCUGUAGAUCGGGAUAACACCGAGAAAUCGGUGCUAAUACCGGGUAAUAUCUGAGAUCACAUGAUCUUAGGUUAAAAGAUGGCUCCGGCUAUCACUACAGGAUGGGCCCGCGGCGCAUUAGCUAGUUGGUAAGGUAAUGGCUUACCAAGGCGACGAUGCGUAGCCGACCUGUGGGGGUGAUCGGCCACACUGGGACUGAGACACGGCCCAGACUCCUACGGGAGGCAGCAGUAGGGCAUCUCCCGCAAUGGACGAAAGUCUGACGGAGCAACGCCGCGUGAGUGAUGAAGGGUUUCGGCUCGUAGAGCUCUGUUGUUAGGGAAGAAACAGUACCGAACGAACUAGGUCGGUACCUUGACGGUACCUAACCAGAAAGCCACGGCUAACUACGUG